ensembl:snRNA U6 U6 spliceosomal RNA
GUGCUUGCUUCGGCAGCACAUAUACUAAAAUUGGAAUGAUACAUAGAAGAUUUCCAUGGCCCCUGCGCAAGAAACAAUAUGGGAAUUAAUUACUACUGGUUUGU